CACACAUAAUGACAUUAAUUUUUCAUGGAUUCCAUACCAAAUACUUGUAUCAAAUACAUCUCAGACCUGCAGGAAUUAAAAGGACCACCUUUCAUUCAAAGUUUCUCAGCUCAAAACAGAGAAUCUCGAGCCACCCGUUCCAAUGACAACACUACAAUAAAAUUCCGCUUGUCGUAAAUUUAUUUUGUUGUAAAUGGAUAUUGUUAAGGCAGAGAUUAACAGAUUCUUGAUUACUAAUGGGUGUCAAGGUUUAUGGGGAGAAGGCAGGAGAAUUUGGUUGAGAAGGAAAGGUAGAUCAGUCAUGAUUGAAUGGCUGAGUAGACUAGUUGUGCCGAAUGGCCUAAUUCUCCUCAACCAUUGUUUUCUCAAUUGACCAAAUGCUGUGUUGCCACAUCGAGGGAGAUACUGAAUCUCACCAUUGAUGAUUGCCUUUGCAAGAGAUAUGGGAAGUUGUUUAUAUAUUCCACGACAUAGCCACAAACCUUUAUUGUUAGAGGAUGGUGUUGUGCAGUGGUGAGCAGAUUGAUUCCAGACCUUGGUCUUGCAAGUGUUGAAUGUAACGUCAAUUCUCUCACAUUUAUUGUUGGAUGAAUCAACAAGGUCCAGUGCUCAUCUUUCAACUAUGUGCCAAUGCACGUGUAAUUUGCGUGUGGCUGCAGGACUGCGGAUGAUUGGAUGACUUUGUUCUGAAGUGUGGUCACUUUAGGGUUGAAUGGUAUCGGCAUUUGUUCUGAAGAUUAGCUCUAACUUGGUCACUGGAAAAUUGUGAAGGUGGCCGAGAGAGAUUGAGAAAAAAAGCUGGAACAAUGACAGCCUCAUUUACACCGAACAUCAUUGAGGUUGGUUCUCUUGUAAACCCGUCGGUUAGACCCAUCUUUUGCAUGCCAUCAUGGAAAAAAAGGUAAGACUGAGACAUAUGUAUAUGAUGAAUUUGAUGAGGCUGUGCCAUAACUCCAACCAAUUGAUGGAGUCAAAGUUAAAGUGAGGCCAAAGAAGGUGCUGCUCCUUGCAUUUUUCUUGGAGUUCUUAUGUGUUAAAGAUCAGGUCCAUCAUAGUUCCAGAUGGACUGAAUCAGGGAACAGCUCUUUAAACAGUGGGAAGAAGUGUUUGCGUAGGGCCCUGAUGAUAACUUUCCUUGUCACCAGAAAGAUUCCUCUGCAGUAAUCACAGUUUAACCUGCCUUUCUUGAAGAUGAUGAUGUAAUGGCAUUGAUUAAUUAAUUGGUUGAUUGAUUGGAAGAUACAGGAUGGAAACAGGCACUUUGACCAACAGAGUCCCCACUGACCAUUGAUCACCCAUUCUUACUAGUUCUAUGUUAUCCCACUUUCACGCCCACGCCCUACGCAAUUUACAAAGACCAAUCAACCGACAACCUGCACAGCAUGGGGAAGUGGGAGGAAACUGUAGCAUCUCUGUGGUCAUAGGGAGAAUGUGAAAACUCCACACAGACAGCACCGAGGUCAGGUUUGAAACCGGGUCUAUGGUGCUGUGAGGCUUCUCGGAUACUCCCUGCUAUAUCCUGCAAUAUGAAAUGGACAAUGAGACUGUGCAUAUACAACUGAAAUUGUCACCCAAUACUUUGUGUUUACUAACCAAAAGUGCCAAUUCUAACUUCUUCGGGAUAUCUACACAUCUCCAAUACUUGGAAAGUUACUCUACUACACAGUAAGGCAUUCAACAAGCUUCAGCAUGGUAGGCUGUUCUGCAAGGAUAGAUCACAUGGGAUCUAUGGAGAGAUAGCUGAAUAGAUAGCAGAUUGGCUUUAUGGAAGGAAGCAGAGGGUGAUGGUGGAAGUUUGCUUCUCGGACUGGAGGCCUGUUACUAGUGGUGUGCCUCAGGUUUUGGUGCUGGGUCAAUUACUGUUUGUCAUCUACAUCAAUGAUUUGGAUGAGAACAUACAGGGCAAGAUUAGCAAGUUUGGUGAUGAUACAAAAGUUAGUGGUUUUGCUGAUAGUGAAGAUGGUUGUGAACAGUGGCGGACUGGCCAGGGUGUCAGCUUGCCCGAUGGCAAGUGGGCUCCUGAUGAAGUGAUAGCAAGUGAUGGCAAGUGGGCCCCUGUUAAAUGAUAGCAUUGUAGUUGUGGGUGGGCCCCCUUUGUCUCCUGGCAACCAAUAUUUUUAGACCCAGUCCGCCACUGGUUGUGAAAGAUUGUAGCAGGAUCUGGAUCGAUUGGCCAGGUGGGCUGAGGAAUGGUUGAUGGAAUUUAAUACAGAGAAGUGUGAGGUGUUGCAUUUUGGGACAUUUAACAAGGGCAUGACCUUCACAAUAAAUGGUAGGCCUCUGGCGAGUGUUGUAGAACAGAGGGAUCUAUGAGUGCAGGCGCAUGGUUUCUUGAAGUUCGAGUCACAGGUAGAUAGGGUGGUCAAAAAGGCUUUUGGCUCAUUGGUCUUCAUCAGUCAGAGCAUUGAGUAUAGAAGUUGGGAGGUCAUGUUACAGUUGUAUAAGACUUUGGUGAGACCGCAUUUAGAAUAUUGUGUUCAGUUCUGGGCACCAUGUUAUAGGAAAGAUAUUGUCAAGCUUGAAAGGGUUCAGAAAAGAUUUAUGAAGAUGAUGCCCGGUCUAGAGCUAUAGGGAGAGGUUGAGUAAGCUUGGUCUCUAUUCGUUAGAGUGCAGGAGGAUGAGGGGUGAUCUUAUAGAGGUGUACAAAAUCAUGAGAGGAAUAGAUCGGGUAGAUGCACUGAGUCUCUUGCCCAGAGUAGGGGAAUCGAGGACCAAAUGACAUAGGUUCAAGGUGAAGGGGAAAAGAUUUAUUAGGAAUCUGAAGGGUAACUUUUUCACACAAAUGGUGGUGGGUGUAUGGAACAAGCUGCCAGAGGAGGUAGUUGAGGACGGGACCAUCACAUCGUUUAAGAAACAAUUAGACAGGUACAUGGAUAAGACAGGUUUGGAGGGAUAUGGACCAAGUGCAGGCCCGUGGGACUAGUGUAGCUGGGACAUUGUUGGCCAGUGGGCAAGUUGGGCCAAAGGGCCUGUUUCCACACUGUAUCACUCUAUGACUCUAUGACUGUGAUUAGCAGGUGUAGGAAGGAAUUGGUUUAUACUAAUGAUAAACACAAAAUUCUGGUGUAACUCAAUGGGCCAGGCAACAUCUCUGGAGAAAAAUAAUAGGUGAUGUUUCAGGUCGGAACUCUUCAGACUGAAUGUAGAGGUGGGGUUGGAAGAACAAAUUCCUGGCAGGCAAUAAGGCGGAGCCCAUAAUGAUCCAUUGUUGACUGGGGAAGGUGUGAUAACAAGAGAUAUACAAGGAUGUGAACAGUGGAACUGGAAGUACGGCUAGGGUAUGUGAAGGGGGGAGAGGCAGGAGAGAGAGGAGGGGAAGGAAUGGAAUGCAUGAGUUACUUUAAAUUAGAGAAAUCACUGUUCAUGCCACUGGGUUGUAAACUGACCAAGUGAAAUAUGAAGUGUUGUCCUCCAAGUUGCAUCUAACUUCUUGGUCUCGCUAAUUUUAAAUUCUGAACAUGGCUGUGAAUUCAGUAACCAAAGCUUUGGAAUUCCCUUCCUGUAACACCUCAACAACUUGUGUUUUCUUCUAUAAGACAUUCCAUAAAAUGUACUUAAUUUAUCCCAAUUAAUGGCUUGUUGACAAUUUAUUUCAAUAACGUUCCUCUGAGAUGCCUGGGGACUUUUACUCAUUAGAAAUGUUGUUCUUGGAAGAGUUUUUUAAAUAUCUAGAAUUAUAACUGUUGUUUAUGUCAUAUAUAGUUUGCAAAAUAAUUCAGUAAUGUAGUCUGUCAUUUUCCUGGCUUUCCCUUCAGUUCUACUCAAAACAGCAACACACAGGUAAAAGUCAGCCUUGACUAGGAUUACGCACUAACAUUUUUAAACAUUAAAAAACCUUAUCCUUGAGAAUAAAGUACUGCCAGGAAGCAUCAAGAUUAGUUUGCAAACUGAUUAUUUUAAAAACUAUGUGUAUUCUGAAUGGAAAGUAAAAAUAUUCAUAAUUUUUCUGCCAUUUAAAAAGAAAGUUGCCUUCAAUUUCUAGACGGAAAAUAAAUUAGAUUGGUUUCCAGAGGAGAAAAUAUGCCAUUAAAAUUAACAGUUUAACCAUCACAAAGAGCUCGUAUACAUGCAACAGGCUGAAUGACUGUCCACUCUGCCAUAUGAUUGUAUAAAAGGAUGGCAUAAGUUCAUGAGUACUCCAACAUAUGGACAAGCAGUUUACAAGAACAUUUCAAGGACAAACUUGACUUUAUUGAUUUUAACUUCAAUUGACAGUCAUUUCUUCAGCACUGUUAAAAUAUCCUGAUACAAACGGUGGCAAAAUUGAAGUAUCUAAUGAAAUUUAACUAAGUUUUAUUUUGAAAGAAACGAUCAGCAAACAACUGGAGUAAUAAUGGAACCUUGGCAAAGAAAAAAAAGCUUGAAAAUAAACCCAAGAAAAAAACAGCACCAAUUGAAUAAUUCACAGAUGGAGCCUAGUAAAAACAGACCCAUAGACUGAAGAAGGGUCCCGACCCGAAACAUUACAUAUUCAUGUGCACCAGAGAUACUGCCUGACCUGCUGUGUUACUCCAGUACAUUGCGUUUUUUUUUGUUAACCAGCAUCUGCAGUUUAACUGUACUUAAAAGUUUAGAAUUACAGCAUAGAAACAAGCCAUUUGGCCCACUGAGAUCGCACCGACCAGUGGUGGCCCCAUAGACUAGCAUCAUCCUAUAUGCUAGGGACAAUUUCCAUAAGCCAAUUAACUUACAUAGGGUGCUCCUGUUUUAUCCCACACUCCAAAAACAUACAGAUUUCUAGGUUGUCCAGGAAGGAACUUCAGAUGCUGGUUUACACCGAAGAUAGACACAAAAUGUUGGAAUAACUCAGCGGGACAGGCACCAUUGGCUGUCCCAUUUAAUUACUCCAGCAUUUUGUAUCUAUCUUCAGGUUUGUAGGUAAAUUGGCUCGGUGAAAACCCACAAGGAGAAUGUACACGUACAUGCACAGGUACUACACGUAGUCAGGAUCGAACCCAGGUCUCUGGCGCUGUAAGGCAGCAAAUCUCCCACUGCGCUACUGUGGCCCUCUUAAGACUUUUCUUGUUCAUUCACAGGAUGUUGGUUCUACCAGCAUGGCAGCAUUUUUUGCCCAUUCUCAGGUGGCCCAGAACCAGGUAUAGAAUUUCAUAGUAACCAAGCAGCAAUGGAUAUAUCUAGAGAGGGUAAGAGGGCAGAAGAAUUUUCAGUCAGUGCAGGCCUUGUUUCUAUGGGUUUAUAGUCACAUAAAGGCCAGGUCAAUGUGACGUUAGAUGACUAUGCCAGAUUUAUUGUUGAAACAAUCUGAGAGAUCAAUAGAAAAGGAACAUGUUGAACGGUUGCUUUUUUUAUUACAUCUUCAAUAAGUUAUACUCCUAACUGAAGAUGUUCAUGAACAGAGAUGAGAAAAAAUGCACACUUUUAGAAAACCCGAGAAACACAAUAUUCAGUCUUAUAUUUGUUCUUCUGGAGUGUGGUGAUAAAAGUUGAAAACAAUAUUUAAUUUAAUUUGUACAUGCUAACCACUUAUGAAGUUCAAUCCAGAUAGAGUCAUAGAGCCAUACACCACAGAAGCAGGCCCUUUGGCCCAACUUGUCCAUGCCAGCAAGGUGCCUCAGCUAAGCGAGUCCUAUUUGCCUGUGUUUGUCCCACAUCUCUCUCAACCUUUCGUAUCCAUGUAUCUGUCCAAGUGUCUCUUCAAUGCUGUUAUAGUACCUGCCUCAACUACCGCCUCUGAUAGUUCAAUACUUAUAUGAGGGCGACAGAUAGCACAAUGGGCUAAGAGUUCGGCUGGCGACCGGAAGGUAGCCGGUUCAAAUCCCGCUUGGAGUGCAUACUGUCGUUGUGUCCUUGGGCAAGACACUUCACCCACCUUUGCCUGUAAUGGAAUGGCGGCAGGCGCGGGCACACCGCGACGCCCUGUGUCUCCCUUUCAAGGGAGAUGCUAAAAA